GACAGAGGGUGCAAACGUUGUUCGGAAUUACUGGGCGUAAAGCGUGUGUAGGCGGUCCACUAAGUCGGAUGUGAAAGCCCUGGGCUCAACCCAGGAAGUGCACUCGAAACUGGUGGGCUAGAGUAUCGGAGAGGUUGGUGGAAUUCUCGGUGUAGAGGUGAAAUUCGUAGAUAUCGAGAGGAACACCGGUGGCGAAGGCGGCCAACUGGACGAAUACUGACGCUGAAACACGAAAGCGUGGGGAGCAAACAGG
rnacentral:rRNA from 1 species